AUAGGCCCAGCUGAUUCUGAUGCCCUUGUUUGCCAACACGUGCAACCACAGCAGUGUGGCCAGGCUGCCGAUAGGUGUGAGCUUGGGCCCGAGGUCGCUGCCGAUCGCAUUGGCGUAGAUCAUGGCAUCGCGUACCAGACCUUCGGCAUUGCUG
rnacentral:misc_RNA from 1 species